rnacentral:rRNA from 1 species
UCCUACGGGGGGCAGCAGUGGGGAAUAUUGGGCAAUGGACGCAAGUCUGACCCAGCAACGCCGCGUGAAGGAAGAAGGCUUUUGGGUUGUAAACUUCUUUUAAGGGGGAAGAGCAGAAGACGGUACCCCUUGAAUAAGCCACGGCUAACUACGUGCCAGCAGCCGCGGUAAUACGUAGGUGGCAAGCGUUGUCCGGAUUUACUGGGUGUAAAGGGCGUGUAGCCGGGAAGACAAGUCGGAUGUGAAAUCCCGCGGCUCAACCGCGGAACUGCAUUGGAAACUGUAUUUCUUGAGUAUCGGAGAGG